rnacentral:lncRNA from 1 species
UUUCACCUCUUUGAAUUUCACGCCAGAAUCCCAUCUCCACUUCCACCUUUUGCAGCUAGCGAUCGAUACCCUGGAGCCGCCCGCCGCUCUGCACCCGCCGCCGCACGCCACGAAUUCCUGCGGAUCGAUCGUCCCGCUCCCGUCGGCGUCGAACCUGCUGAACAGCAUGUCGUAGAGGCUCGCGAUCUCGUCCGCCGACUGUAGCUCGAACUGCGUCGACGACAGCUUGCCGGAGCGCCUUUGCAGCUCGUCGCGCGACAGCACGCCGUUG